rnacentral:rRNA from 1 species
GAAUGCUGACAUAAGUAACGAUAAAGCGGGUGAAAAGCCCGCUCGCCGGAAGACCAAGGGUUCCUGUCCAACGUUAAUCGGGGCAGGGUGAGUCGACCCCUAAGGCGAGGCCGAAAGGCGUAGUCGAUGGGAAACGGGUUAAUAUUCCCGUACUUGGUGUUACUGCGAAGGGGGGACGGAGAAGGCUAUGUUGGCCGGGCGACGGUUGUCCCGGUUUAAGCGUGUAGGUGUGUGUUCCAGGUAAAUCCGGUUCACUUUAACACUGAGGCGUGAUGACGAGGCACCACGGUGCUGAAGCAACAAAUGCCCUGCUUCCAGGAAAAGCCUCUAAGCCUCAGGUAACAUCAAAUCGUACCCCAAACCGACACAGGUGGUCAGGUAGAGAAUACCAAGGCGCUUGAGAGAACUCGGGUGAAGGAACUAGGCAAAAUGGUGCCGUAACUUCGGGAGAAGGCACGCUGACACGUAGGUGAAGUGGUUUACCCAUGGAGCUGAAGUCAGUCGAAGAUACCAGCUGGCUGCAACUGUUUAUUAAAAACACAGCACUGUGCAAACACGAAAGUGGACGUAUACGGUGUGACGCCUGCCCGGUGCCGGAAGGUUAAUUGAUGGGGUCAGCGCAAGCGAAGCUCCUGAUCGAAGCCCCGGUAAACGGCGGCCGUAACUAUAACGGUCCUAAGGUAGCGAAAUUCCUUGUCGGGUAAGUUCCGACCUGCACGAAUGGCGUAAUGAUGGCCAGGCUGUCUCCACCCGGGACUCAGUGAAAUUGAACUCGCUGUGAAGAUGCAGUGUACCCGCGGCAAGACGGAAAGACCCCGUGAACCUUUACUAUAGCUUGACACUGAACACUGGUCCUUGAUGUGCAGGAUAGGUGGGAGGCUUUGAAGUGUGGACGCCAGUCUGCAUGGAGCCAUCCUUGAAAUACCACCCUUUAAUGGCUGGUGUUCUAACGUGGGCCCGUGAACCGGGUUGCGGACAGUGUCUGGUGGGUAGUUUGACUGGGGCGGUCUCCUCCUAAAGAGUAACGGAGGAGCACGAAGGUUGGCUAAUCCUGGUCGGACAUCAGGAGGUUAGUGCAAUGGCAUAAGCCAGCUUGACUGCGAGCGUGACGGCGCGAGCAGGUGCGAAAGCAGGUCAUAGUGAUCCGGUGGUUCUGAAUGGAAGGGCCAUCGCUCAACGGAUAAAAGGUACUCCGGGGAUAACAGGCUGAUACCGCCCAAGAGUUCAUAUCGACGGCGGUGUUUGGCACCUCGAUGUCGGCUCAUCACAUCCUGGGGCUGAAGUAGGUCCCAAGGGUAUGGCUGUUCGCCAUUUAAAGUGGUACGCGAGCUGGGUUUAGAACGUCGUGAGACAGUUCGGUCCCUAUCUGCCGUGGGCGCUGGAAGAUUGAGGGGGGCUGCUCCUAGUACGAGAGGACCGGAGUGGACGCAUCACUGGUGUUCGGGUUGUCAUGCCAAUGGCACUGC